rnacentral:lncRNA from 1 species
UUUGGCUGGGCCUUUGUCUCUCGCUCCCACCAGAGCUUGGAAUCCGUCUCUGCUCUUCUGCAUUCUCCACCUCGGGAGCCCCUGGGGACUCUGUGACGGCCUCUGUUGCCCUGUGAUCUGCAGGUCCGGAGAGACGCACAGCUAAGAUGUCAGGACAUCCUGGAAGCUGGGAAAGGGUCUUGCCAUCUCUAAGCUGGACCUGGUGACCUUUUUGGAGGGAAAGAAAGAGCCCUGGACUGUGAAGAGUGAGGAGACCAUAGCUGCACAGCCAGAGAUGGGGUUCCAUCAUGUUUUCCAGGCUGAUCUCAAACUCCCACGGUCAAGCGAUCUGCUGGCCUCGGCCUCUCAAGUCCAGAUGUAUAAUCUCAUCCCUGAACAUUUCUGAUGGUGUGAUUAUGACAUGUGACUUUAUCUGGCAACAGAGUGAGUUGUUGCUCCCGCCUGAGCCCAGCCCCCAGAAAGGAUUGUGACAUAUCGUUGGACCCAGAAUUGAGGUGCAGUUUUGACACACUUCUGUCUAGCAGCUGAGUAUUGUGAUCUUCAGAACUGGCCCAGCCUACAAAUAGGAUUGUGCCACACUGCUGGACCCAGCACCUAGAUGAUGUAACUAUUCUCCUGCCUUGGUGCUACUCAAAAAAGACAUUAACAUAUCUCAGAGCCUUGCACCCAGGCUCUGCAUAUUUGGGUAUUGUGACAUAUUGCUGAACUCAACACCUAAGGGAUGGGAGUCUCCUACCUAGGCCCUUCCUACAGGGGACAUUGUGACAUGUCUCUGCAUUCCUCAUCCAGGAGAUGUGACUCUCCUUUUCUGCCUACACCCUGCCUACACAGAAAGUUGUGGCAUAUUGCUGUGGUCAGCAACCAGAUGAUAUAUUUCUCCUGCCUGGGUCUUUAUUACAGGAAAGAUGAUUGACAUAUUACUGGGCCCAGCAUCCAGAUGAUGUGACUCUCUUCUUCUGUUGGUCCUUGCUUACAGGGAAACUGUAGCAUAUUGCUACACCCAACACCUAGCUUAUGUGAUUCUUCUUUUAGGUUUGCCUUCAGGGAACAUUGUGACAUAUUGCUGGGCCCUGCACUGAUAAUUUGUGACUCUUCUGCCUGUGAUUUGCCCACUUGGGGCAUUGUGACAUAUUGCUGGGUUUAACACUCAGGUGAUGUAACUUUUAUGCCUAGGCCUUGCUUACAGGAGGCAUUUUGAAAUGUCUUUGUGGCUGGGCAUGGUGGCUCAUGUCUGUAAUCCCAGCGCUUGGGGAGGCCAAGGUGGGCAGAUCACAAAGUCAGGAGUUCGAGACCAGCCUGGUCAACAUGGUGAAAACCUGUCUCUACUAAAACAAAACAAAACAAAACAAAACAAAACAAAACAAAACAAAA